GACGGAAGGUGCAAGCGUUGCUCGGAAUCACUGGGCGUAAAGGGUGCGUAGGCGGCCCUGUAAGUCCGUUGUGAAAGUCAAAGGCUCAACCUUUGAAAGCCGAUGGAUACUGCAGGGCUAGAGUCCGGAAGAGGCGAGUGGAAUUCCUGGUGUAGCGGUGGAAUGCGCAGAUAGUCAGGAGGAACACCAAUAGCGAAGGCAGCUCGCUGGGACGGUACUGACGCUAAGGCGCGAAAGCGUGGGGAGCGAA
rnacentral:rRNA from 1 species